CUCUGGUCUGUGUCUGCUGAGGUUCUCAUGAACAAGCAGCAGCUCAUACAAUCUGCUGUCACUCAAUGGUAGAGGAGGAUCCAGAUAGUAUUGCUGGGAUAGCUUCUCAGCACAGA